rnacentral:lncRNA from 1 species
UUUAUUAUUUGGAAUUUUAACUUACAAAAAUUAUUCUACUUUGUCAGAGGCACAUGCCAACAUUUAUUGUAGUUAUUAGGGCUAAUGUGGGAUGUUUCAUACAUAAUAUAUGUCAACUAUUAAAUAUUUAUUUCAUAAUCUUAAUAUCUUAAAUGUUCCCUGUUAAUUCAUUUUCUCUUAAGUUUUUUGUUGUGUUUAGUUCUAUUUGAUACAGGGUUUCACCACAUAGGCCGAAAUGGCUUUAAACUCCUAGUCCUCAUCCCUCCACGUGAGUACUGGAGUUACAGCAACACUAUAUACAGCUUUUUCCCUAAAUUAAAGUAUUACCUAAUCUAUAAUUUAUUGCCUGCAUUUUUCCUGGCGUAGGUUAAGUCUGUUUUUUUUUUUUCCAGAUAGUCUUAUUAGUGGAAAUGCUGGCAUUAACUAACAUACAGAGCUGUGAUACCAAUGAAUUUAUUGAGAUGAAAAUUUAUGACCACAAAGGCAAAUAUUUAUUGACUAUUUAGUCGGUGAGAAGUCUGUAAAGAUGUAUAAAAUUCUUCCUGUUCUCAAAGAAAAUGUAAAGAUGAUGUAAUGAAAGUUUCAUUUUUGAGAACCCAGACCCCCCAAAAAGUCUCUGUACUGAUCCCUUUCUGUCUUAUCUUCUGAGCUUUGUGCUCUGCAUUUACAUAAGUAUUGAGUAUUCCACUUUGCUGUAGUAUAUCCCACUUCUUAAGUAUUUUCUGAAGACUUUUUGUUAGAGCUCUUAAAAUCAGUACAGUGAAUGGUGGUCCCUGUGUGGUGGUCCCUGUGCUCACAUAGGUGCAUUGCACACAGGAGAGAAAGGAUUUGUUGUGGCAGUACCUUGUUAGAACAUACAGUGUGCCCCUGCAGCAGGUGCUUCUAGUUGUCUUUAUUAAUAAUCAUUUUAAAGUGAUUGUCCUUCUUCAUGAAGGAGAAAAUCUGACAGGUUGCCCAUAUCACAGAGCAGAUGGUAAGAGCAGCUGUCCUGAAGUACAUCUGGAUCUGGUCGUAUCCUUCGCUGUGGCCACUGUUCCAGAAGCGUCUUGCUUGUGCACCUGAUAAUUCUGCAGUAGGCUCUCUGAAGUAACAAGCUGAAGAUAAACUCCCUGGUGUAAGACAGUUUUUUUGAGAAGGGGCCCAAAAGAUAGGCUUAGACUGUUGUUUCCUAAGGCAGAGAUGGGGCUGCCAUGAAAACUUGAGCAAUCCUUACCAUCAAACAGGUCUGAGAACUCAGACACUGCAGGUGAUGUCCUCCAUCACUGCUGGGUUCCUGCUGAUAACAGAUAAAGGGGAACAGUGCCAUUAAAUCACCAACAACUCUGAACUUACCAUUCGUUCUAAGCAGAGAAAAGGAAGAGGGAUCUCUCAAGGUCCAAUAUAACUUAGAAGUUGACAAGCUGGGUUUGCUAUAACUGAGUGAGAGAUCCUAUUUAGUAUUGAAGAAGUGGUUUCUUAAAAAUAUUCCAUUUCAAUAUACUAAGUUGAAAUUUAGUAGAAACCAUGAUGAACUAGAAAUCAAUAUUAGUUAGGUCUUGUUAAUAAAACCAUUGUCAUUGUUGAAUUGUGACCUCAGGGGCUACCCCUAGAAAAGACCUUAGAAGGUGUCCAGUAAUUGCCAGGAUUUAGACUAGGAAACCCUCCUGUAUGGAGGUGAUAAGGAAGACUGGUCCCUCAGAAAAAAACAUAUGCACAUUUACACUCAUGCACACACACACUCACUGGGUCCCUCAGAACAUACACACGUACACACUCGCACUCAUUGGAGACAGUCGGUUCCUUAGACCUCUUUUCCUUUGAGAUGCUGUGCCAAGUGGGUCCACGUUUCCUCUGUUAGACACCCUUCACAUGGUCUUCAUCACAACAGGAAACAACCCCCUGGACAGAUGAGAUCAGUACCCGAGUCUUACCAUUUUGUUGGGACUAAAGCAGGUGAGCCCAGGCACCCAGAGUCCCUACCCGUGUAUAAAAAUGAUAGACUUUAGAGAAGGAAUUCCUACCUGCGCGGUGGACAUUAACCCUGAUUAAAGUGUGUUUUUCUUCUUUUCCAAACUGUAUUUUAAACUCUCAUGGUUUCUUUGUCUUGUUUUUUAAAGACUGGAUCUCACUGUGUAGUUUUGGCAAGCUGGAACUCCCUGUGUCGGCUAGGUUGACUUUGAACUCACAAGAGUUCUGACUGCCUCUGCCUCUGGAAUGCUCAAAUUAAUGGUGUGCACCACCAUGCCCAGAAUUAGUCCUCACAUUUUUUUAUAGGCUGUUUGGAUAUGAAGCUUUUCAUUGUAUAGAAUUGUGUCUUGACUUUAACUAUGCUUUUUUAUUGUGAGAUGUAUUAGAAUAACCUCUAGUGUAACUGGUUCUUAAUAAAUGUCACUCAGUUUCCAGUUAUGCAUGGGGAGGCAAACUCCCUGCAUCUUAUAAGUAUUGGAUUCCAGUUGUAGCUCAUGGACCAAAAGGGGGUUUCUGUCCAUUGGCAUUCUCUGGAGAUCAAACUGUACAGUAUCUGUAUUAUUGGCCUGAGACGUAGUUUGUGCAAUCUAUUUGGGACAAACCUCCAGUCAAAAGGAUUGCAUUUUUAUCGACCUAAUUAAGAUUUUCUAAAGUGAAUUUGUUUUGUGAUAAAGGGAAGGUGGUAGCCGAUGAUACAGGUCUCUAGCAGGAGAUAAGAAAGGCUAAGCGUGGUCCUUGGAUUAGCUUGACUUUUUUCUGAAAAGAAACUCAAACAUAAGAAAUUUCCCAGACAUAAUUUUAAAACUUAUCAGAAUCAGUAGAGACAAUAGCAAAUUUUAGGAUUUUUAAAAGUAAAGUGUAAAUUACUUGUCUUUUUACAGACUGUUUGUCUUGAUAUGACUCUGGAGUUAGCAUUUCUACCAUUCUGCAUUUGUUUCCGUGGGAGCUUUAAGAAUGCUGUGGCCUAGUUUUCUUGUUUGUGUUGGGUAGAACUAGGAAGCCAUCAGUUAUCUAGACUCCUAACAAUUAUUGUGCUUACAGUGUUUAUAGUGGCCGUUGGAUUUCUGUGUUACAACAUUUUAUAAAUCACAUACCUUAGAAUACUUUGCUAUUGAUUUAUAAUUAAUUAUUUAUACUGGGUGUCCAUAUUUAGUAUUAAUCCAGACAGAUAACCUUUAUCUAACUGAACUUUUAUACCUUUAAUCCAUGUUACAACUUUUAAAAUAGCAUUAUAAUUUUUAAAACUUUGCUUUAUAAAGCAUUUGUUACC